AGAACGAACGCUGGCGGCAUGCCUAAUACAUGCAAGUCGAACGAACACUUCGGUGUUAGUGGCGCACGGGUGCGUAACGCGUGGGAAUCUGCCCUUGGGUUCGGAAUAACAGUUGGAAACGACUGCUAAUACCGGAUGAUAUCGAAAGAUCAAAGACUUAUCGCCCAGGGAUGAGCCCGCGUAGGAUUAGCUAGUUGGUGAGGUAAAGGCUCACCAAGGCGACGAUCCUUAGCUGGUCUGAGAGGAUGAUCAGCCACACUGGGACUGAGACACGGCCAGACUCCGUACGGGAGGCAGCAGGUAGGGAAUAUUGGACAAGUGGGCGCGAAGCCUGGACUCCAGCUAAUGACCGCGUGAGGUGAGU
rnacentral:rRNA from 1 species